rnacentral:rRNA from 1 species
CAGCAGCCGCGGUAAUACGUAGGUGGCAAGCGUUGUCCGGAAUUAUUGGGCGUAAAGGGCUCGCAGGCGGUUUCUUAAGUCUGAUGUGAAAGCCCCCGGCUCAACCGGGGAGGGUCAUUGGAAACUGGGAAACUUGAGUGCAGAAGAGGAGAGUGGAGUUCCACGUGUAGCGGUGAAAUGCGUAGAGAUGUGGAGGAACACCAGUGGCGAAGGCGACUCCCUGGUCUGUAACUGACGCUGAGGAGCGAAAGCGUGGGGAGCGAACAGGAUUAGAUACCCGAGUAGUCCCUGUCUCUUAUAC